rnacentral:miRNA from 1 species
UGCGAAUCUGUCACCGUUGUCCCC